rnacentral:lncRNA from 1 species
GGGAAGUAAGGGGGAGAAUUAGGAGACAUGAUAAGACAGCAGUGUGCUUUGGGCUGGUCUAUAGGCCAUGAUGACCAAAAACCUGCAGAUCCAGCAUCUAGAAGACCACUGUCAUCCUCACAGAGAGCAAGUCACUACUAAAGGAAUCCAGAAGCUAGUUGUAGUGGGUAGGAGGGAGACCAAGGCCUUGAGGUAAUGAAGUCCUUUUUGGAAGAGUUUGGUCAUGAAUGAGGAAGAAGACAAGGAAUUGGCAUGAUGAAAGUAUUCUCUUCCAGAAUAGUUUUUUAGAAAUGGAGAGACUUGAACAUGGACAGACUGAGGUACCAUGGCAAGAUAUUAAUAGCUAAGAAUGGAAGGGGUGGAAGAAACAGGAGGGGCAUGUCAGUUGUCUGAAGGAGAAGGAUAAUGGGAUAGGGGAGAAACGGAAGAGCAGCCCUGUGGUAUGCAGGAAGGCAGAGAAAGGUGUUCGCAGUUGACCAAGAGCUUGUGAGUGAAGAGAGAGGUCACCCUGUAGAGUAAGAGGUUCUGGGGAUGCUGUAAGGGUCUGGGGGUUUCAGGAACUGCUUUGGUAGAGGUUCAAUUAAGGCACAAUCUAUGAGGCUUACAUAUGACUCCUGGACUCUGGUCAGGAGCCUAGCAACCACUGUCAUCUCUUUGUGAGGGCUUAACCUCCAGGAGCUGGAAGAAGUUGACUGGAUUGGAGAGUCACAUCGGAAAGACCAAAAAGCGUGGGGUCCAUGGUGGAAGAAACUUCUAGAACUGUCUGGCCCCCAGGUUUAGUGGCCACUCCCAAGGGACUUGAAGCCCAGAUGUCUGACAGCAGGAGGCACCAACAGUCUUUAGUCAGCACCAUAGAUAAAGCCCUGAGUGGAGGCAGGGAGGCUAGGCCAGACACCAAGGGAAGUACCUCUUCCCCAAAGUCAAAGAAGGAGAUGCUGAACUUCCCUUAGCAUGAGCCCCGCCCAGCCUAGAAGAACUGAAUAAGAAUAAUCAGCAAGCAGAUGCAGGUGCCAGCAUCAGUGCCCACUACAACUUCUGUCAUCAUCAUGACCUCUACCCCUAGGAAAGCUGACUGGCAUGAAUGAGAUCACAGAGAAACUCACGCUGCCAGAUGCCUGUCGAAGUGACCACAUAGUGGUACAGAAAGUGACUGCCACUGCCAACCUG